UUAUAUUUAUACAAUAAAUUUAUAUUUAUGCAAAAAUAUUUUUGGGAAGAUUUCACAAAAUAAAAACAAGAAUUUUUAAACCCAUACUUCCAUUUCAAUUAAGUAAACUUACCCCUUAUUCCCCCUCAUUCACAUUUUAAUUAAGGUAAGGUGCUCCUUAUUUCCCCUUCUUAAAACCCUCCUAAAAACCUACUGCUUCCCCUACUCCUUCUCCCUUACUUCCCUACCUCAUUCACGAAACACACAAAAAAAAAAAACAAAUUCGCUGCUCCUCUGCUGCGCUGCUGCUGCCUCAGCCGGAACCCACCACCGCGGCACCACCGGCGACCCUCGCUGCUGCCCUCAGCCCUGCUGCCGCCGCCGGAGAGGACUUCGUAGAAGGUGACUUCUAGUCUUAAGGUGGCCAAACAAUUUGUGUACUCCAGGAGAGGACUUCGUAGAAGGUGACUUCUAGUCUUAAGGUGGCCAACCAAUUUGUGUACUCAAGAUUCAUCACAGGUUUUUGCAUAAACUGUCUUGCAUCAGGGUGAUGGGAUUUGAGUGAAGCGUUGGUUAAUUACUUAGCUUAUUUCACUUUAUAGACUGAGUUUAUUUUGACUAUAAUUUUACUUACUUCCUAUUUUAUAUGGAUUUUGAAUAAGGGCCUUUAUGGUUCCAACUUGUAAGUCUAAAGCUUGAUUUUGGUUUUUAGUUUCAAAACUUAUAUCCUUUUUUUUUUUUUAAAAAAAAUAAGGUAGUUUUUUCGCUGCUGAUUUCUGAAACUACCCUUAACGUUUGAACACGUGGCGGUAGCACUCCAAUAAUUCUCUU